UGCUCUUUUACUCCAUGGUGUACUUCACCUACAUUUUCAUUUUUUGUCUUCAUUUUUUGUCUUUGUAAUUGAUCUGCAGGCUAGUUGAUCUUGACACUAAUGCAUUCAGAAGGCUCCACUGUGGAGCAGGGGAGUAGGUUGCUAGGCAACCUCACGAAACAGCAGCAUUGCUGGGCCUCUUACCUAUAAGAGUCUUGUUUGGGGAGAAUCUAAGGCAUUAUACUACUUCUAACUCUUCUCCUUAGGCCUCAAAAAAACAGAGAUUUGAAUGAAUACUGAAGGCAUUUCACAAUCCAAAAACAGUAAUGCCCUUUGAAGAAAUACAGCUCUCAGUAACAGCACAGAGUCUGCUAGACUGUCCUGUCAAUGUCAGUGGGGUUGCCUAGAUUGAUUAUGGCCUGUUCCUUUGACAAGCACCUAAGGCCCCUGGAUUUCUCCAGGCACUCAUUAGUGUGACUGCUAAUCCCUCUCAAGGCCCUGAAGAUACUUCUUUAGAGAUCCAAAGAUAUUCAAGCUCUCUUUGUUCCUGCAUCUGAAGAAUGGGUUAAGAAUAGCACCUACCUUCGGACUGCUUUGAGAAUAAAGUAUUUAAUGUACAGCCCUCAGAAGUGUGCCUGCCUUAGAGUAAGAACAGGUCUAUCACUUUGCACAAUAGGGAACCAUUUGGGUUGAAUUCUUUGGGAUUUGUGCCUGUUGGAACACAGCAUAUUAAGAGACUGGUGUCUUGACAUUCUGCUACAAAACAGUCUUGUAUAACAUGAUGUAAAUUAACUGUUAUUAUUAUUUUGAUUUGUGCUGGGUGACCUUAUUUCUUGGUUUGGUCAGGACAGUCUUGGUUUAUUUCUAUCUUCCUCAUAAAAUUGUUAACAACCUCUUUCAUUCUCUGAAUCCAUUUAUUCAAGCCUGUUUGAAAGAAAUUUGCUAGCCCAUUUGUUUAGAACUUUAAUAUAGAGUAUUUUACUUUUAUUUAAAUCUCAAUAUAUUUAGAUUCAGACUCCAAGUCUGCAUGGCCUAUUACAAGGCAAUUUUCUACAAAGAUAUUCACUUGGCUUGGGGCAAGUGAAUGUUUGUUUGUUUCCAUUUGGUUUUGCCAAAAGAUUCAGAUUCUUAUUUUAUAAGGCUUUACAAAAGUAUUUUGACAUAAUUUCUUCAUUGCUAAUCAAUUUAGUAUCCUAUAUAUAAUUAUUAUUUCUGGACAACUGAGAAACAGUAUACACUGUUUCAGCAUUACUCAAAGUUUUCACAUCAUUAUCCCUAUGAAAAGUAAUAUUUGCUUAGAAGACUUAACUGAAAUAAAAGGAAUUUGGAGGCAUUAAUAAGAAAGCCGAUAACACAACUUAUCACAUUUUCUUAAAAUUUAUACCAUUAUAAGAAAAAUAAAUACUAAAGAAGACAUUAAAUAUUGAAUUAUAUAAAAUUUCCAAAAAUUUUUUUAUUUUUGAAAAGAAAAACUGGGGCUUGUUAAUAUGAACAUAAUUUUAUGCAGAUUUUAUUUUUGUAAUGGUUAAAUGUAGUUCUGAUCAAGGUUGUUUAAAUAACCUUUUCACUUUAUUUCCAGUUGUCAUCAGUGAUAAAUUUGACACUAGUAUGUAGCAAAAAUAGCAAAAAGAAAAACAAAUUAUUUAUCGUCGGGGAUAUCCUUCUUACCAUUAAUCUAAAUGUGGUUAAGUUUAUUUCUUUAAAUUAUGUGUCAGGUUAUAAUUUUUCUUUAUAUGUAAUAUUUCAUUAAAAAUGUUAUGUUAAAAUUUU
rnacentral:lncRNA from 1 species